rnacentral:piRNA from 1 species
AAGAUACUAAGGUGCUUAAGAA